rnacentral:rRNA from 1 species
UCACUAGUGAUUAAAUCGAGAGCGUCUUCAUUGACCUCUCACCCUUCACAUCCACAUACACCUGUGCACCGNUUUGGCUCUUAUAAAAGACGAAAGUCUGCAAUGAGAGUCAUCAAUUUUAUACAUACCCCAGUCUUAUGAAUGUAACAGUUUUAAUAAACAUAAUAAAACUUUUAACAACGGAUCUCUUGGUUCUCGCAUCGAUGAAGAACGCAGCGAAAUGCGAUAAGUAAUGUGAAUUGCAGAAUUCAGUGAAUCAUCGAAUCUUUGAACGCACCUUGCGCUCCUUGGUAUUCCGAGGAGCAUGCCUGUUUGAGUGUCAUGAAACUCUCAACCUUCAACUUUUUUAUUAAGGCUGAAGGCUUGGACUUGAGCGCUGCUGGUUCUCACGAACCGGCUCGCUUGAAAUGAAUUAGCAGAUCCUUUUUGUAAUCGGUUCCACUCGACGUGAUAAGUAUUUCGCCGAGGACAUAUGAAAGUAUGGCCGAGAUAAAGAAAGUUCUAGAUCCGCUUCUAAUUCUUAGAUAAAGCUUGCUUUACUAAACCCCAUUUUAUGAUCUGGCCUCAAAUCAGGUAGGACUACCCGCUGAACUUAAGCAUAUCAAUAAGCGGAGGAAAAGAAACUAACAAGGAUUCCCCUAGUAACGGCGAGUGAAGCGGGAUGAGCUCAAAUUUAAAAUCUGGCGGCCUCAGGUCGUCCGAGUUGUAGUCUAGAGAAUCGUUUUCCGCGUUGGCCUGUGUACAAGUCCCUUGGAACAGGGCGUCAUAGAGGGUGAGAAUCCCGUCCUUGACACAGACUACCAAUGCUUUGUGAUGCGAUCUCGAAGAGUCGAGUUGUUUGGGAAUGCAGCUCAAAAUGGGUGGUAAAUUCCAUCUAAAGCUAAAUAUUGGCGAGAGACCGAUAGCGAACAAGUACCGUGAGGGAAAGAUGAAAAGCACUUUGGAAAGAGAGUUAAACAGUACGUGAAAUUGUUAAAAGGGAAACGAUUGAAGUCAGUCAUGCUUUCCGAGACUCAGCCGAUUCUGUCGGUGUACUUCUCGGUUGGCAGGCCAGCAUCAGUUUCGAUCUGUGGAAAAGGUUGGAGGGAACGUGGCAUCCUCGGAUGUGUUAUAGCCCUUCUUCGAAUACAUAGAGCGGGACUGAGGAACGCAGCGCGCCUUUUAUUAGGUUGGCCC